GAAACAGAUGAGAGGAGCAUGUAGGUGUGGUGAAUAGAUUUAGAUGAAUAUUUAGUACUUGGCACCACUCUGAUCCCUCCUUCUUCUCUCAUGCUUAAUUACAGCUGCCGCCUCCCAGCACAGAACACUUUCAGCUCUGUGAGUAGGAAUUAGAUUUUCUAAAUCAGAAGUUUGAGUUAAGCAGUAUUUUACAUGAAUGGCCAGUCCCUAAGUGUUCUCUGUACUGGUGUGUGGUAUAGAGGAAGGAACGGGGGCUUGGGGCAGGGUCUAUGGUGCAGUGUCCUGGUUCCCAUCUGUUGAGAUGAGGGCCAUGAGAUGGCCUAGAAGGUUCAGACUGUGGAGAUUGAAUGGAUCUGCCCACUCCUGGGAAGCCUCGAGUCUAACUCGACUUGGGCUGGUUUUACGGAGAUGUCGGCAGCGCUGUCCUCACGGGUCACUGGCAGGGGCUCUGGCACCGUCCCCGUCAGGUGUCUCAUGAUCAGCCCAGCUUGCCCAUCUUAGAAGCUGCUGGUCGUGUUCUCGUUCCUGUUGUUUGUUGCUUAGGUUCUGUUCAUGUGGAGACCUAGGAAGUUCCACAGUGAGAGGAGAGCUGCUGAGCCGCCUUCCUGCCUGGACGCCAGCCCCACAGAGGACCGUGACUGCUUGAGGUUGGCUUCUGCCCCCGGCGUCACCUGUGGACGCAGUGGUAGUUUCUAAGCUCCUGGGGCACACAGCGCGGUUGUGUGGAUCCACAGGACACUCUGGCAUUCAAGCUCGUGCCUCCCGGAGGAGAGGACCCUGUGGGCGCUGAUGCUGGGAGCUGGCCGAGAGUCCAGUGCGUAAGACUCCCUGUGACGUGCACAGCUGCCAUCUGCGCAGCCCCUCCUGAUACCAAGAUGGUCGUGCGAUAAACGCACAAAGCGCAUCUCCAGCAAAAGGCCGCAGAGUUUCCACAUCCAGGAUAUCCACCGCGGUGGCUUUUUAGUGUUAAUACGAUGAAUGUGAGCGGCAGGUGGUCUGCGUUCUGGGGGGUGUGACUGUGCCACUGCAGUUUUGUUCUCAUGUCUUGAUGAGCAUGAACGGCUCCUGACGAGGGUAGGUAAGGAUGCUGGGACCGGAGACUCUGCGGGAUUGUAGCUUCAGGAGCAAAGGAGGUUUUCUCUCUUGCAAACCCUUCAGGGAGGAAGUUCCAGGCUGGUGACUACUCCAUGAGGUAUUUGGGGAUCCAAGUUCCUUCCAGACCCCUGCUUUGCGUUCCCAAGGACACGGCUGUCCUUGCUGUGGUUGGGACUGGAUUUGGAUGAGUUGCUUUCUGCACAACACACCUGGACAGACGGAGGCUGGUUCUCCACAAUGGCACCAGGGACUUGGCGGAGACUGGCGGGACAGAGGCACACACCAGCUCCCUGGGAGAAGGCAGUGCCUGUGGGAUGGAGGAAAGAAGAGGCACACAGUGCUGAGAUCUAUACAACCUGGCGUUUGGCCGUGGCUUCCAGGACAGGCUGGAUGCAGAGUGAAGUCCUCUCCUCACUGUCAAUGUUUGCAGAUGUCUUCUUGUAUAAACUUCGUAUUUCUUGAGACUUUCAA